GGAGAGAUGUCCGAGUGGUUUAAGGAGCUGGUCUUGAAAACCAGUGAUUCCGAGAGGAACCGUGGGUUCGAAUCCCACUCUCUCCGCCA
rnacentral:tRNA from 1 species